rnacentral:rRNA from 1 species
AACGAACGCUGGCGGCAGGCCUAACACAUGCCAGUCGAGCGGACCUUUCGGGGUCAGCGGCGGACGGGUGAGUAACGCGUGGGAAUAUGCCCUUCUCUACGGAAUAGUCCUGGGAAACUGGGGGUAAUACCGUAUACGCCCUUUGGGGGAAAGAUUUAUCGGGGAAGGAUUAGCCCGCGUUGGAUUAGGUAGUUGGUGGGGUAAUGGCCUACCAAGCCGACGAUCCAUAGCUGGUUUGAGAGGAUGAUCAGCCACACUGGGACUGAGACACGGCUCAGACUCCUACGGGAGGCAGCAGUGGGGAAUCUUAGACAAUGGGGGCAACCCUGAUCGAGCCAUGCCGCGUGAGUGAUGAAGGCCUUAGGGUUGUAAAGCUCUUUCAGCUGGGAAGAUAAUGACGGUACCAGCAGAAGAAGCCCCGGCUAACUCCGUG